GCUGGGCAUGGUGGCGCAUGUCUGUAAUCUCAGCAAUCUGGGAGGCUAAGGCAGGAGGAUCACAAGUUCAAAGGCAGCCUUAGCAACUUAGUGAGAUCCUAA
rnacentral:sRNA from 1 species